rnacentral:rRNA from 1 species
GAGUUUGAUCAUGGCUCAGGAUGAACGCUGGCGGCGUGCUUAACACAUGCAAGUCGAACGAAGCAACUUAUUACGAUCCCUUCGGGGUGACGAUUUGUUGACUGAGUGGCGGACGGGUGAGUAACGCGUGGGUAACCUACCUUGUACAGGGGGAUAACAGUUGGAAACGACUGCUAAUACCGCAUAAGCGCACGGUAUCGCAUGAUACAGUGUGAAAAGUUUUUCGGUAUAAGAUGGACCCGCGUCUGAUUAGCUAGUUGGUGAGGUAACGGCCCACCAAGGCGACGAUCAGUAGCCGACCUGAGAGGGUGACCGGCCACAUUGGGACUGAGACACGGCCCAAACUCCUACGGGAGGCAGCAGUGGGGAAUAUUGCACAAUGGGCGAAAGCCUGAUGCAGCGACGCCGCGUGAGCGAAGAAGUAUUUCGGUAUGUAAAGCUCUAUCAGCAGGGAAGAUAAUGACGGUACCUGACUAARAAGCACCGGCUAAAUACGUGCCAGCARCCCGCGGUAAUACGUAUGGUGCAAGCGUUAUCCGGAUUUACUGGGUGUAAAGGGAGCGUAGGCGGUUUU